rnacentral:rRNA from 1 species
GAUCUGCCCAAUAGAGGGGGAUAACUACUGGAAACGGUAGCUAAUACCGCAUAAUGUCGAAAGACCAAAGUGGGGGACCUUAUGGCCUCACGCUGUUGGAUGAACCCAGAUGGGAUUAGCUAGUAGGUGUGGUAAUGGCUCACCUAGGCAACGAUCCCUAGCUGGUCUGAGAGGAUAACCAGCCACACUGGAACUGAGAUACGGUCCAGACUNCUACGGGAGGCAGCAGUGGGGAAUAUUGCACAAUGGGGGAAACCCUGAUGCAGCUAUGCCGCGUGUGUGAAGAAGGCCUUUGGGUUGUAAAGCACUUUCAGCGGGGAAGAAGCUUACAGUGCUAAUAACUCUGUAAAUUGACGCUACCCGAAGAAGAAGCACCGGCUAACUCCGUGCCAGCAGCCGCGGUAAUACGGAGGGUGCAAGCGUUAGUCGAAAUUACUGGGCGUAAAGAGUACGCAGGCAGCCUGUUAAGUCAGAUGUGAAAUCCCCAGGCUCAACCCGGGAACUGCAUCUGAAA